GGCGGCAGGCCUAACACAUGCAAGUCGAGCGGAGCGGCGGACGGGUGAGUAAUGCCUAGGAAUCUGCCUGGUAGUGGGGGACAACGUUUCGAAAGGAACGCUAAUACCGCAUACUAUCAGAUGAGCCUAGGUCGGAUUAGCUAGUUGGUGAGGUAAUGGCUCACCAAGGCGACGAUCCGUAACUGGUCUGAGAGGAUGAUCAGUCACACUGGAACUGAGACACGGUCCAGACUCCUACGGGAGGCAGCAGUGGGGAAUAUUGGACAAUGGGCGAAAGCCUGAUCCAGCCAUGCCGCGUGUGUGAAGAAGGUCUUCGGAUUGUAAAGCACUUUAAGUUGGGAGGCGUUACCGACAGAAUAAGCACCGGCUAACUCUGUGCCAGCAGCCGCGGUAAUACAGAGGGUGCAAGCGUUAAUCGGAAUUACUGGGCGUAAAGCGCGCGUAGGUGGUUCGUUAAGUUGGAUGUGAAAGCCCCGGGCUCAACCUGGGAACUGCAUCCAAAACUGGCGAGCUAGAGUACGGUAGAGGGUGGUGGAAUUUCCUGUGUAGCGGUGAAAUGCGUAGAUAUAGGAAGGAACACCAGUGGC
rnacentral:rRNA from 1 species